rnacentral:lncRNA from 1 species
CACAGUCAUGGAACCAGACCCACAGUGGCAGCCACAGCCUCCACCACACAGACACAGCCACACUUGCACAUCUCUGAAGGUGUGGUUCCACAGGUCACAGACUCAGUCACAAACACAAUCCAGGCCGUCUUCUCACCUGUGACUGUCAGGAGGCAGAAAAAGGAGUCCUCUUUCCAUCUCCAACAGUAGCCAAUUGGUCUCCUCCUUGAACACCUCCAGAAAUACAUUUAUUAUCCAACAAGGCAAUUCACUCUAUUUGGGACCAUCUCUAAUUGUGAAAAAAUUAGUCAGGAAGUCAAAAACCAUUCAUGAAUCCUCCUAUGCUGAGCACUGAAGAUCCAAAGGCAGACAGUCCCUGUCCUCCAGGAGAUCGCAGUCCCAUGAACAGGACAACAUGCAAAUAACUAGGUCAAAAAAGUUGUAGUCAGGAUCAAUUAGCAUAAAGAAGGACAUUGAUACCGGGGAAGUUAUUCGAGGCCUGCUAUAGAAUCCCUGACAACUGGUUAUCCAGCAUCUAAUGAUGGUUCCUCCAGAAUUCAGCCUCUAUUAAACCAAACUACAUCAUCCCACAAGUCUCCUCUCACCUUCUGCUCCCCUGGACAUUGUUCCUAAUUCAGAAGGACAGGGCCAAAGUGUGAAAUCUCUGCUGACCUGAAUCAAGUAUGACCAAUCAAUCAGAAACUGAAGCUCAGAGUGGUUCCACAAGCUCACAUCAUCAGUAUCUCUAAAUCCAACUGCUUUUCGGUGAUGUGCUGGAGGUGAGAUCUAAAUGAAGUUUUCCUGAUUCUAAAUCCAUCACCUUCCCCACAAUGCUCCUUGGAUUAGGCAGAUUAUUACCAAUGAAACCAUUUGGUAACAACCUUCCCAAAAUGUGAUCCACCAAACUGGACACAAUGCCCC